GCGCCCCUCGGGUCGCUGCCCCCGGCGCCCGCCUUCCCGCGUCGCGUGCCUUUGUGUUCGGUCAGGCCGCGGUCGCCGACCCCAGGUCCCUGCGAGAAGACGGACGGGUCACCGCCGCGCUCGCGAUGAUCCCGACAGAACCUUCCAGUUCGGAGUGCUGCCCAGCCAAUCCGGUCCACACCCCAAAGCCAGCACACCCGCCUGUGCCCACGACUGGGCCCCCAGCCAGCCGUGGGGGAAGUUGAGUGACGUCCACUGCUGGCGACAGGGCCAUCUGGCCACGCAGAGGGUCCUGCAGGCCCAGGCGCUCCACCUGGGCCUGUGCCACAGGGACCAGGGUCCAGGCGCUGACCCUCUGGGGAGCCCUGGCCAGGUCCUGCCCCCGGCCUUUGGUCUGCUAGUGUGGCCAGUGCUCCAGGUUAACAAAGAUGAGAGGAGUGGCCUUGUGCAGUGAGACGGGCUGUGGAGUGCGGGCAGCUGGGCAUGGGAGUUUCUGCACCUGGACAUCUGUCAAAUGCCUUCACUAAAUGCAGACCCUGGGACCCUGAAGUCCCCACUCCAGGGGUUUACCUUGAGCACACGGUCAGUUGCACCCCGAGAUGUUCCUGCAGGGACACUUCCUGCAGCAUUGCUUACAUCCCGGAAAAGAUUUCCAACAACAGAGGAUCAGCUACCUGAAUGUGCUGUAGAGCUCUUUGCAGGACAACGGAAGCAACGGGAGCAGUGUGUCUUGGCUGUUUCCAGGGAAGAGUAGAGUUUUAAUUUAGGCUGUGUCUGACUGGCAGGCAGGACGGAGCCCAUGAAAGUGUAUUCUCAGCAGUGCUGCCCAUCACCGGUGCUGCUUUACAAGACCCUUCAGUGCAGCCGCAAGUCUUUAAACAGCAUUCGAACGAUGGUGCCUGGUGACAGGGGCUAGACAUGCAGUAGUGAGGAAGACAGUACUUGGGGAGCUCACAGCCUGGUGGAGAAGACAUCUCAUAAAAUACUGACAUUUAAGUGCUUCAUGCUGGCUCAACAUGAGUAUUAACUUGUUUAAUGCAGUGUUAACCCCUGAAAUGUUGGCAUAUAAUUAUCCCAUUGUUUGGACUUCCCAGCCUCCAGAACUGUGAGAAAAUAAUUUUUUCUUCUGUAAA